ACACUCACACAAGCACAGCCCCCUUCUUCCCUUCUUCUACUCUGUCGACAAAAAACAACUUCCAUGGCCUAAACCAGAGCCACCGGUCCGGCCACCACAUCGUGGUGGCCACGCUACGCUACUCUACGAUCUAACUCUAAACUUGAGGCCUAAACCUUUAGAGAACCAGACGAAACCAUGAUCAAAUCUAAAACCCCAAAACCAUGCUCGAAUCCAAAGCCCCCUCUUUUCUCUUAAACCAUGCGACCACCGUGACCUGGUGGUCAUCUCUGCUGCAAACCAGUGAUCGAAAGACCAACCGAAGGUCUAAAUGACCUUAAACACUUCUCCUCUCCUACUUUAUUCUCUCAAACUCUCCCCUCUAUGCUUACAGAUAACUGCUGCGCCAAAGGAACCCACCGAAUGGCUCCGAUGAAGGUAACCAUCGAGACCCCCAUGGCUUCUCACUGUUCACGGGCUCCAAGAACAAUCUCCCCUCCUAUCGAGACUCAACAACAGAAUAAUUCACUUCUUAUCCCUUAUGCUAAGCUUCAUUUUUUUUUUACUUUCAAUUUAUUCAUAAACACAUAUACACAAAAUAAAACUUCCAGUUAAAAUGAAAACAUAAUACCUUAACAGAAAAAUAUUUUUUUGAUUGAUAGGUUGUUUCUUUUUACUUUACACAGCUUCGGAAGAAAGAAGGGAAAAAUCCUUCAUUUGCAUAAUAACACAAGCACACACAAAAAAAUGGGGGGAAAAAACCCCGAAGAAGAAUACCUUGAAAAUAUGGAAUUAUAUUGCUUUCUCUGUUUUUGAAUUCUGAAAUUACACUUUUUUUCUUUCGUAUUCAUUUCCCUCUUUUCGAAUGAUUUUCCCAAAAGAAAGGCCCACGAUUUAGUCUCUGCCCCCUGUCUGUUAAAGAGCCCCUUUGUUUUCGUGUUUUCUGCUUGCUCCCCCAGUCUGUUGAAUCUCUCUGUUCUUUUAUGGUUGCUUGCAGUGGUCUUUCCACUGAAGCCUUGUUUAGUGGAGGAUUAGGUUUCCUUUUUUUUUUAUUGUUUUAGUGGGAUUUGGGUGAAUGGCUGAUUUGGUAUUAUUUGCAGAUGGAUGAUGACUCAAUGAUGACGAUGGUGGUCUCGGCAAUCGGUUGGAGUGCUGACGUGGUGGCUCAGUGGUGGCGACUGGUUUACUGUUGCGGCUGGAUGUCACUUUAGGGGAAUAUUCUGGGACACGAACAAUAGAGAUAUGAUCUAAAUUGUGAUAUCCUAACAUGGGUACAUGGCAUGAGAUUUGAAUAUUGUCAUCAAUUCAAAGAGACUGAAGAAGUAUUUUGUGGUAAAAGGUGUGAACUUGAGGUUCGUGAAGAAUAAAAGUAAGAGAACAAGGGUAUGUUAUAAAGGUUGCAUCGGUAGUCGUUGAAAGUGAAGGUAAAGAAUCAUGGCGAUGGAUUUUAAAGAAACUAAUGGUCAAUUUAGAGUAUCUUAACGGCAGUGGACUUAAACUAAUGUCAGUCAUGCAAAAGGGUCUUAUACCAGUCCUAAGGGAAUCAUCCCCCGAUGUUGAUCAUAGGAUUUGUGUAAGGCACGUCUAUGCAUCUUGGCAUAAGAAAUGGAAAGGUAUAAAUAGAAAGUUCAAUUCUGGAACACGGUCAGAGCAUCUUUUGUAGAAGAAUUUGACAAGCAGUUGAAAAAUUAUAAGAUUUGUGGCAUGGGUCCUCAAAUGACCUUUUAGAUACCCGGUGGAGCAUUGGUCGAAGGCUUACUUUAAAGGCUCAUGCAAAUGUAAUGUGGUGGAUAAUAACAUGGUCAUAGCUUUUAAUGAAUGGAGAGUGGAAGCAAGAUGCAAGCCUAUCAUCAGCAUGCUUGAGAAUAUUAGGGUCAUGGCAAUGACUAGGAUGGAUACUAAAAGAACUUGAGUAGAAAAGUGGAGAACCAACAUUUAACUAAGAGCUCUUGAGAAUAUGGAAAGGAACAUGGACAUUUCAACUCAAUGUAGGCUUAUAUGGAAUGGUGAUGGAGGGUUUGAGGUUAUUCAUUUAUAUAACCAACAUGUGGUUGAUUUAAAGAAGUUGACAUGCACUUCUAGGGAAUGGGAACUCGGUGGGAUUCCAUGUUGUCAUGACAUAUGUGCAAUGUAUCAAGAGUCCAACCUGAAGAUUAUGUUUUUGAAUGGUAUAGUAAGGAGAAGUACGUUGCAAGCUACAAACAUGUCCUGCAACCUAUGAGAGGAAAAAAUUAUGGCCCAAAAAUCUUGCCCCGAUUAACCCUCCCAUUGUAAAGGUCCAACCUAGAAGGCUCAAGAAAAAAAAAGAAAAUAUAAAUAUGAGCCCACAAAACAAACAUUUGGGAAAAACUCAAGAUCCAGCCUAAAAAUAAGAUGUGGUCAUUGUAAAAAAUUUGGCCAAAACAAGCAAAGUUGUCCAAAAAAAAACAAUGAUGCUUCAGGUCAGGUGAAUACAAAUGCAGCCACUUCAACUAAUAAAUCAACAACAUCGACUAAGAAGUCAACCACAUCGAAGAAACUAACCACAUCGAAUUCUACUAACAAGAAUGGUGAUGGACCGUCUAGAAAAAGGAAAAGAUAAAUUGGUAUUGUUAUUUAUACCAAUAUGAACAUUGGUGAAGAAAUAUUUAAUCAUGGCUUAUUGAGUGAAAGGGUUUUAACUGCCCCUACUAAUGCCCCCAAUUUUAGCAUACAUGGAAGGGUGCUGGAUUGAAUUAGAAAGGGAAGAAGGCUGUCACUAUUAGGCAAUUUGAGCAAGAACAUUCGGAUGCCUCUCUUAAUCAUCCUGGAAUUGGAAUGACAAAGGAAUGCUUGGUGUCAACUUUUUUCUUUUGGUCUGUUUUGUAUGAAACAAGCAGACCUUUUGUUUUGUAUAAAACAAGCUAGUCUUUCAUUUUACAUGUAACAAGUUGGUUGAUGAAACUCGUAUUCUUGUCCAAACAAACAGCAUUUUUCCAAUUAUGUCUUUAAGUUGUGUUGUGAACUUUU